rnacentral:rRNA from 1 species
UACGGAGGAUGCGAGCGUUAUCCGGAUUUAUUGGGUUUAAAGGGUGCGCAGGCGGCACGGCAAGCCGGCGGUCAAAUCGCGGGGCUCAACCCCGCCCAGCCGUCGGAACUGCCGGGCUAGAGUGGGCGAGAAGUGCGCGGAAUGCGUGGUGUAGCGGUGAAAUGCAUAGAUAUCACGCAGAACUCCGAUUGCGAAGGCAGCGCACCGGCGCCCGACUGACGCUGAGGCACGAAAGCGUGGGGAUCGAACAGG